GACAGAGGCCCCAAGCGUUAGGCGGAAUCACUGGGCUUAAAGCGUGUGUAGGCGGAUCGUUAAGCGUCUUGUGAAAUCCCACGGCUCACCCGUGGAACUGCUGGGCAUACUGGCGAUCUUGGGCCAACUAGGGGCAGCCGGAACAAGCGGUGGAGCGGUGAAAUGCGUAGAUAUCGCUUGGAACGCCGAAGGUGAAAACAGGCUGCUGGGGUUGCGCCGACGCUGAGACACGAAAGCCAGGGGAGCAAACGGG
rnacentral:rRNA from 1 species